GUAGUCUAUGGUGCCAAAAGAACUAUAAAUUUGCAAAGGGCUAAUUUUCAGUCCUUUUUUGUCUGACAUGGCAAUGAAGGAGUGUCGUGUUUAUUUGUCGUCUGGAAAUUCCAACUAUUGAAGGAACCUUAAUCUCUCAAUUGAAGUCUCUUCAACUCUACAAUGUUUUGAAGGGGUGCCUAACUGAAAUAUUCCUUUACAACUCCAUUGAAGACAAAGCAUUGGAUUGCUUUGACGGGAUUUGAUGGCUUUAUUUAAAGGAUUGUUCCUGUCUGGACUUGAAUGGGGGUAUAUAGACUUAUGCAUCCUGCAGGUGACUCUCUAAACUCCAGGUCAGACCAAGUGCGAGGACUACUUGCCAACUACGGAAUGUUUCAACUAUUCAAGGUGACGGAAUAAUGUAGAUGAGACUGGAGAUGCUUAGGCUGUUUUCAUGGCUUAUUUGGAGUCGAUGCAAGGGAAACCUGACUACGAAAUAUUACUUUACAACGCCAUUGAAGGAAUAAUGGAGAUGCUUGGGCUGGAUUGAUGGAGUCGCUACAAGACAAAGCAUUGAGUUACUUCGACAGGAUUCGAUGGCUUUAUUUAAAGGACAACUUGCUGGCUAUGAUUUCAAGACAAGGGGGUGGCAGGUAGCCUAGUGGUUAAAGUGUUGGACUUGUAACCGUAAGGUUGCCAGAUCGAAUCCCUGAGCUGACAAGGUUUGUUCCUGUCUGGACUUGAAUGGGGUAUAGACUGCUGCAUCCUGCAGGUGAUUGACAACGCCAGACCACUUGGCUUGACCAUCACUGGCAGGGUUCAGUGACGUGUGGUUCAAUGGGCAAUCCCUGUGGUUAUAUCUUUGGGGUGAUGAAAUAUUUUAUGACUGGGUUGAAUGAUGUUUUAUAAAAUCAUGCCUAAUUCUUGAGCGAAUCAGACAGGCUGAGAUUAUUUGGUAUUUUGGUCGGGUGCAGUUGAAUAUAAAUCCCCAGUCAGAGGGUUUAUUAGUAAUUGCGGGUGAACAAAAGCUGACCUGCACUACUUCAUAUGACCCCAACUGUUCUAUCCUGGCGAGUGGAGUAUUGCAUAAUCCUGACAUGUCAGUGUUUCUGAACAAAUGUACCACAAUGAAAUGUUUGUAUUACCUCAAUUGUGGGCCCAACUGCAUUACAUUUAUUUUCAAAUGGUGUAAAAUAAAAUUAUCCUUAUGAGUCAUGUCAAAUCCAUAACUGAUUGUUUGUCUUUUUAAUAAACAAAGUUAAUGGCACAACA